GUCCAGUUAUAGUCCGAGUGGCUAGGUUUGCCACAAAGACAUAUACAGCUUUUAAAUAGGGAAGAUUUCGAGUGCUCUUGUGAAUGACAUAGCUAUUUAUCUGGGUCGAUGGUCAUAUGGUGGAAUUCCAAUUGUCAAAAAGUUUACUUUAUUUUGAUUUCCAGGGGCAACCAAAAAAGGGCACAUAACUAGGUUCCCUGUGUACCAAGAGAUCAUAGGCAUGCCACAGAAAC